CCUUAGAGCCCGGCGAGCGGGCGCGGCCCUGCCUACACCCCGACUUCAUCCCAGUGAGGAGGACGUCGGACUUCUGGCCUCCAGAGCUGUGAGAAAAUACAUUUGAGAUGUUCAAGCUGCCCAAUGUCUGGUCAUUUGUUACAAAAGAUAUGGAAAAUCAACGCACCAGUAACUGGAGAAAAUUGAUCACGACUGAAAGGCAGUGGGCAAAACGUACUGUUGUAGGUCAGCCCAGACCAGAAACUGUAAGUCUAUCAAACAGGCGGAGAAAAGCGGCCACCGUUUUAUUCCUCAAGAAUUGCACAGUGUUUAUUUAAGUCAGCAACCCUGUGGAGCAGAUUUAAAUUUUAUACAAUUUCUAGACAUACGGCAUGCACCCACACGUGUAUAAUCAUCAUGCAUGCAUUAUGUAUGCAUAUGUGUGGAGGGACAUAUGCCAGUGUACGUGUGGGUGGGUACAAUGAGAAAAGAUACAGGGUCUUUAAUUAUGGAAUUAUCCAAGUUUCUAUUCUUCUCAGAAAUCACCAUAAUGUUUUGGGAAUUCUCCCAGACUGCUUCUUGCACUGAAAGUUGUUCAAAAUUCUGUUAGAAAUUCUCUAUAUUUUGUCUAAAAAUAUGCUUCCCAUAUUGAUGUGAUACAAGUGAGGAAGAAAUUACAAAAUAUUCACUGAGUAAAAUAGCAAUUUAAAUGCAUUGAAUUAAAUUGAGGACCUGAAAACCUAAACACAAUUUUUCCAUUGCUUGGUUUAUGUGAAACUGGACCUGGAGGUUUUUGUUUUGUUUUUUCCUUCCCCGCCAAAGGAGGAGAGGGUUCAGCUUGGUGCAUUGGAAAAGUUUUGUAAAAUUAUGUCUUAAUGGUUUCUGUCAGAUUUGGAAAGAAUCAUUGGCAGUCUAGGGAAAAGUGGAUUUACACAAGGUACCGAAAUUACCAGGUGAUAGAGAAGACGUUUAAAUUUGUGGGCCCUCACUCUGAGUUGAGGAAGGGGCCCCUGGUGUUUUUACGACGCACACUUUCUUACUGCUGUACCUGCUGUGGAAUCUAGUGAGAUUCUAAGUAGUCCUAUUUAAUUGUGAGUCAAUAGUGACUUGCUGGGUGCGGUGGCGACUCCCACGGCGGAUGGCUGGGUCGAGAGCACAUCUUUAUUUUCUCUCUAGAUCAUUCUUCUUCCUAUUUUGAUUUGAGAAAGGGAACGUGAGAAUUAGGUCAACCAGAGUGUUUUCCCAGUAAGUGUUGAGGCAGGCGUUUGCAAGGAGCAGUAUUGGAAGCGUUUCCGGAGUUUUCCAGUGUGUUCGGGUUUCACCUGCAUGUCAGGGUUCGUCACCGUCACAGGAACCCUGGGUCAUUUUGCCAACUCAGUAGAACGGGGCUAAAAUGUAAGAGAAGUAACUUUUAUUUUGAGAACAUGCUCAAAAGUCUAACAAAAUGCACACAGGGGAUACAGAAAAUAGAAUGUGGCAAGGUGGGAGUCUGUGGAGGGAGUGGUGAGUAAAUUGUAAUCCGUCUUGGAGACCGUUUCCAAGUUUACACUACGUGAAGCGGACGGGGUUUGUGAUGCACACAGGGCACAGCCCCCAAGCCCGGGUUCUCCAUCGCUUAGUGGGAAUGCAGCCUCUGUGUGGUUUCAAGAAUGGACAUCUGAGUUCUGGCCUGUGUCCAUUUCAACAUAUUCACUGUUUGAAAGUGAAUAUUCAGUUUGACUCGUUUAAUUUCAGAAGCACUGAGAACUGAACUUAGAACAGAAGAGCACUCUAAAUAGAGAGAAGAGAGGAGAUUGUUGAGGCAGAUGGAAAGCAUCACAGGAGAAGUGUGUGGCCCUCGCCUGUGGAGGUGAAGCUCCAGCAAGGCUCCAUCUUGAGUUUUUUUAAAUUUUGAGUAGUAAAGUGAUUCACUAGAUGGAUUGCUAAAAGCAGUUCCCAUUUUAUGUUUUCUUUCUUUGGUAUUCCCAAAAUGCAAAAAAAGUAUGUCUUAGGGCCGAUAUCCCCUUUUGAAAUUACAUCGUUAGGAUUUCUGCCAUCUUUGGAACCAGGGUGUUGAAAGGCUCAGGGUGCUCGCCCACAUCAGUGAGGGAGGUGCAGCUGAUGAAGGAAGUGCUGGGUGCAGAAGGGGAUGCUCUGAAAUGGUGGCUUCUGUUUGCAGUUUCAAAGCUCAGGACAAAUCCAUCAAUGUCACCUGAAUGUUCAACCAAGCGAGGAGCUGUGUUCCCUGCUGGAUCGAAACCUGUGGUUAUGAGCCCAGCAUCUGUGUUCACGAAGGCUGCUGCGCAGCCGCUCUUGCCUCUGGGUUUGGUAUCGGGGUGAUGCUGGCUGGAUUGCAUAAGUGGGGGAAUGGUCCUUCUCCUUGAGUUUGUGAAGGAAUUCAUGGGGCAUGGGCAUCAUUUCAUUCCUAUCUUGGCAGGAGUCACAGCAGAGCCCUCCGGGCUGAGUUUCUUUGUGGAAACCCUUCCCCAUCCCGGACGCUUCCCAGCUGGGCCUCGGGCCACCACGGCUGUGGCUCUGGCCUCCCCAGUGUCCUCCUGAAACUCCUUCUGAGUGGUGUCUGGACGUCGACGGUGCCUCAUCUGUCCGGACAUCACGGCCCUGCGUGUCCUGUCCCAAAUCUCCCCAGCCCGCAGCCCUGCUCCCCGGCACUGGAAGGCAGUUCAGGGCUGUCUUGCUGUUUCCUGGAGGUGGCUGUGAAAGGUCUGAAAGACAUAAACACGAUGACGUGCUGGGCUCAGCAGAAGGCUGCCGCCCUCCUGUGUCCAGGACCACAGGACUCCGAAGGCCCCGUGUGUCCUCCUGGGGCCUUAGGGAACUUGGCAGGGCUGCCCACUGGCUCUGUCGGCACGAGGCCUUCAGAAUUACAAACUUUGGAAGAAUUUCUCAAGCUAUCAGAACAACCGAGGUCCCUGUGCACGGCUCUGUGGACGUGAGUUGGUCCUGCAACAGGCAACAGUGCAUUUGCUGGUGAGGGGAGCCCAGCAAGGGCAGGAGUGGCGUCAGUCUGUCCAGUUACAAAACAUAGCAAUGGGACAAGAUCCAGUAGGCCCCGUGUUUGCCAGUAGACACUCACUCUCUUCCACAACCCGAGCAGGCACCACGCAGGGGAGAGCCGAGGGGUGUGGAAUGGACCCCACCUGCACUCACCCCCAUGCCCAUGGCCAGUUCCUCUUUUUGCUUCAGGAAAACGUCGUUUUCCCCUGGAAACCAGCGUUUGAUUCACCGACUCGCACAGUAGGCAGCCUGGAGACGGCCGUCUUCUUAGCUGGGACACCAGGCACUCCAGGGCUUUUGUUUUCCCUCCUAUGGUGUCAUCAUAGACACGACCUCACACUAUCUGCUUAUCACAGUGUAAAGCUCUUCGGAAGAACAACCUUCACAUCAGCAUUUGUUAUGAGUGACAGGGGAGGGAGCAAAACCUCCUCCUCCAACCCAUGUUUUCGCAUCAUUUUUCAUCUGCGGAGAAACCCAAGCCAUCCCCACCCCCAGGAAUGUAAGGACAGAAACUGAAGUCCUCAUCAUUCUGCCUCUGGUCUUCCUGUUAAUAAAAAAUAAGUCUGUGUUAAUUA